rnacentral:rRNA from 1 species
UGCGUAGGCGGAUAUGAAAGUCAGAAGUGAAAGCCCAGGGCUUAACCCUGGAAUUGCUUUUGAAACUUCAUAUCUAGAGUUCUGGAGAGGCAAGGGGAAUUCCGAGUGUAGAGGUGAAAUUCGCAGAUAUUCGGAGGAACACCAGUGGCGUAGGCGCCUUGCUGGACAGAUACUGACGCUGAGGCACGAAAGCGUGGGGAGCAAACA